GACGAACGCUGGCGGCGUGCUUAACACAUGCAAGUCGAACGGAAAGGCUCCAGCUUGCUGGAGUACUCGAGUGGCGAAUGGGUGAGUAACACGUGGGUAAUCUGCCCUGCACUCUGGGAUAAGCCUGGGAAACUGGGUCUAAUACUGGAUAUGACCUUUCUCCUUAUGGGGUUUGGUGGAAAGUUUUUCGGUGUAGGAUGAGCCCGCGGCCUAUCAGCUUGUUGGUGGGGUGAUGGCCUACCAAGGCGACGACGGGUAGCCGGCCUGAGAGGGUGAUCGGCCACAUUGGGACUGAGAUACGGCCCAGACUCCUACGGGAGGCAGCAGUGGGGAAUAUUGCACAAUGGGCGGAAGCCUGAUGCAGCGACGCCGCGUGAGGGAUGACGGCCUUCGGGUUGUAAACCUCUUUCAGCAGGGACGAAGCGUAAGUGACGGUACCUGCAGAAGAAGCACCGGCUAACUAUGUG
rnacentral:rRNA from 1 species